rnacentral:rRNA from 1 species
AUUGAACGCUGGCGGAAUGCUUUACACAUGCAAGUCGAACGGUAGAGGGGGCAACCCCUUGAGAGUGGCGAACGGGUGAGUAAUAUAUCGGAACGUGCCCAGUCGUGGGGAUAACGUAGCGAAAGUUACGCUAAUACCGCAUACGAUCUAAGGAUGAAAGCGGGGGAUCGCAAGACCUCGCGCGAUUGGAGCGGCCGAUAUCAGAUUAGGUAGUUGGUGGGGUAAAGGCUCACCAAGCCAACGAUCUGUAGCUGGUCUGAGAGGACGACCAGCCACACUGGAACUGAGACACGGUCCAGACUCCUACGGGAGGCAGCAGUGGGGGAAUUUUGGACAAUGGACGCAAGUCUGAUCCAGCCAUUCCGCGUGCAGGAUGAAGGCCUCGGGUUGUAAACUGCUUUGUACGGAACGAAAAGGUUUCUCUUAAUACGAGGAGCUCAUGACGGUACCGUAAGAAUAAGCACCGGCUAACUACGUGCCAGCAGCCGCGGUAAAGUGACU